GCGCCCGUAGCUCAGCUGGAUAGAGUGUCGGCCUCCGAAGCCGAAGGUCACUGGUUCGAAUCCAGUCGGGCGCGCCA
rnacentral:tRNA from 2 species